rnacentral:rRNA from 1 species
ACGGGUGAGUAAUGUCUGGGGAUCUGCCCGAUAGAGGGGGAUAACCACUGGAAACGGUGGCUAAUACCGCAUAACGUCGCAAGACCAAAGAGGGGGACCUUCGGGCCUCUCACUAUCGGAUGAACCCAGAUGGGAUUAGCUAGUAGGCGGGGUAAUGGCCCACCUAGGCGACGAUCCCUAGCUGGUCUGAGAGGAUGACCAGCCACACUGGAACUGAGACACGGUCCAGACUCCUACGGGAGGCAGCAGUGGGGAAUAUUGCACAAUGGGCGCAAGCCUGAUGCAGCCAUGCCGCGUGUAUGAAGAAGGCCUUCGGGUUGUAAAGUACUUUCAGCGGGGAGGAAGGCGAUGCGGUUAAUAACCGCGUCGAUUGACGUUACCCGCAGAAGAAGCACCGGCUAACUCCGUGCCAGCAGCCGCGGUAAUACGGAGGGUGCAAGCGUUAAUCGGAAUUACUGGGCGUAAAGCGCACGCAGGCGGUCUGUUAAGUCAGAUGUGAAAUCCCCGGGCUUAACCUGGGAACUGCAUUUGAAACUGGCAGGCUUGAGUCUUGUAGAGGGGGGUAGAAUUCCAGGUGUA